AUAGUAAAACAGAAUACAGGAGAGAUGACUUAAAACUACAGAGAGAGAGAGAGAGAGAGAGAGAGAGAGAAUAGUAAAACAGAAUACAGGAGAGAUUACUUAAAACUACAGGGAGAGAGAGAGAGAGAGAGAGAGAGAGAGAGAGAGAGAGAAUAGUAAAACAGAAUACAGGAGAGAAGACUUAAACUACAGAGAGAGAGAGAGAGAGAGAUAAGAAUAGUAAAACAGAAUACAGGAGAGAAGACUUAAACUACAGAGAGAGAGAGAGAGAGAAUAAGAGAGAGAGAGAGAGAUAGUAAAACAGAAUACAGGAGAGAAGACAUAAACUACACAGAGAGAGAGAGAGAAUAGUAAAACAUAAUACAGGAGAGAAGACUUAAAC
ensembl:lncRNA